AAAUGAUUAAUUACCGAGUAGCAGGAUAUUACCUAGUUAAUAAAUUAGUGAAUAAAGAUUUAAACCCCCACCCCUAGGUGGAAGCAAGACACUUCCUAAGAGAUAUGAGUCUUACUUAUUUUUAAUUAGGUGGCGAGACAAUGUGUUGGAUGGAUACUUUUCCUUUAAUUAUUAAAUGGUGAAGAUUAUCUCUUUCUUACACUUCCUUUUGAAUUCUGCUUCUCGAAGCCGUUUCUGUUAAAAAUCCUUGAAUAGCAUAUCUUAUAUUGUAGUUAAGGGUUAUCCUAUGAACAGGAAGGUUGAUCUUGUAUACUUGUUAUUUUGGUGCUAUUUACAUGUACCAUCUCAAAGCUGACUAUUUACUCUACGCACUUCUGUGUCAUUGAAGUAAACCAACUCCUAGCCAAUAAGAAAUCGAAGUCAAACAACUAUAGCUGCUCAGCCAAAUAGAAUAAGAUUAGGCAUAUGAGGAAACUUGUCAUAUUAUAUAUACGGCUGAAUCCUCUCCCUCUCUCUCGAUUCAUUGGUUGGUCCAUAUCUAGAGGAUAUUGUUAAUGGUUGGAGGUCAAGUUCUCAAGUAAUUCCUUUGGCUUCCCAAUCUGUAUAAUUAUUUCUGUGGAAUAUUCUGGUUCGGCAUGUCUUUAUGAAAGGAGAAUGAAGCAUCUGCCAAUGGCAACAUGUGGUGAUUAAAGAAAGUGGUGGCAUGGGAGUGAAGAAUCUCAAGUUUCAAAAUAGAAGUUUGGUAGUAUACUUAUCAAAUGGAUCUGGAGAUUUAAUGAUGGUAAAGAAGACUAUAGAAAGCUGUUAUUUUUACCAAAUAUGGGAUAGUAGAUCAUUGGACUCCUAAAACUACACCCACGCAUAACUGAAUAACUAUCUGCAAGAACAUCAUACGGAUUUUUCCCUACUCAGGUAUGUUAAGGCACUUUCUUUUUUCUUUUGGCAUGAUCUAAAAUGAAAUGAACAUAAACGAUACGCUAUUUCAUAAUGAAUCUACUCCUAGCAACUAAUGUUGUCCAUGUUGUUCUUUCCGUACAAAGUUAUUCUAAGAAAGUAUGUAUGAUCCUUGAGUCCUUGUGAAGUUCAUAUUGAUGGUAUGAUGUCCAUAAUGCUAAUCGAAGGUGCAACAACCUUACGUCACUCCGAAAGGUUUAGAACGUGAUUCCAUGAGUCGAGCAUACAUUAUAUAUAUGUAUCUAUUUUACUCUACCGAGCCGCGCUAUAGUCGGUCGGGUAUGGCACCUAUUGUGCAACCACUGAUCAAUUGGGUUUACCGAGCUCCACGUGGCCGGGUAUGAUUCUACCGAGCCUUAUGAUGGUCGGGUACGUUUUUACCGAGUCCUUUGUGAGGCCGGGUACGAUAUGAUGAUGAUGAUGCCCACAGAGGUGAAUGUUUUUAAAACGUUCAUGUAUAUAUAUGUAUUAUGCAUAUUAUGUCAGUAGUCACCAGAGGCACUCAGAUGUUACAGGUUGUAUCUCCUCUAUCUCUCUUUACAUUACUGUUCUUGUUUAUGCUUUCCUGCCUUACAUACUCGGUACUUUAUUCGUAUUGACGUCCCUUUUGCCUGGGGACGCUGCGUUUCAUGCUCGCAGGUCCCGAUUAAUAGGUUGACAGUCCUUCUAGUAGGCUAUCAGCUCAGCGAAGGUGUUGGUGCACUCCACUUGUUCCGGAGUUGCCUAUUUGGUCAGUAUGCUUUGGAUAUGUAUUGAUUAGUAUGGCGGGGCCCUGUCCUGACCUUUAUGAUUUUAUGUACUCUUAGAGGCUUGUAGACAGAUGUGAGGUGUAGGGAUACUUGUAUGGCCUUGUCGGCCUAUGUUUUGAGUUUACAAAUGGUCAUGUCGGCCUUAUAGGCCCGUAUGUCACAUAUAUAAGUUUGUAUAUCAUUUUGGGUCUUCAUAUGUUAAGUAUUCCCUUAUGUUUUAUUCUUGUUAUCUCAUGAUGGGUUUUCUGGCUCAUUUACUCACGAUAGUAUGAUAAGAAAGAUAUGUUACGUUGGUACUCGAUUGAGUAAAGCACCGGGUGCCCGUCGCGACCCUCUGAUUUGGGUCGUGACAACCCCAUAAGUUUAACAACGUUGAUAACGUUAGAUAUAUUUUGAUAUGAUAUUUAUAUCGAGUGGAACAUUUUUGUAAAAAGUUUGAAAAAUAUGAUUUCAUAUAUUUAUUAAUAUUACUACCUUCGAAUAUGUUUUAAAUUAUAUACAUAAUAUGAGAAAGUUUGUGAGAUUUUCUUUAUUGUAAAGAUAGAAGUUAUUUUUUUUUACAAGAAAAGGAGGUUAUCUUUUACCAUUUUAAGAAUUAAGCAUACUAAAAUUUUUACUUUGUAUUUGAGAUUAGGAAAAUUAGAAAUUGAGAAAAUAUGUGUAUUUUUUUACAUGGAUGUUUUAAUAAAAUAAUAAGGUAUGUAUUAAUUUUAUAUGGUACCAUAUGACCACGAUAGUAAAGUAUAUUAUAGUAAGGUGUAUAAAGUGUAUUAAAAGUGAGUAGUAUUUAGUAAUUUGGGAUAAUUGUUAAUUACGUGGGUAAUUGGUUAAUUAUCGGGUAGCGGGAUAUUACUUAAUUAACUAAUGAGUUUGGAUAAAGAUUAAGAUUCUCACCCCACUCCCACGUGGCAGCCAUAUGCAAAUGUAUUAGGUGAUUCAUAUACAUAUUACGUGAGUCAUAUAGCAAUUGCAAGGAAAAAUAAAGGGCUUACCCAAAAUGAACAUUUCAAUAGAAUCUCCCAUUUAAGGCCAUAUACAUAGUGUUAGAGAUCAUUCUUCAAACAAAAUCUUACUAAGGUGUCUAUUAAAGUAAUUCAUUCCCCAACAUUGUUGGCGCAAUUUCAGCCCUUAAAGACUGUUGUUAAGGCGAACUAAUCUCAAACCAAUCUAAAAUCCAAGGAAUGUUCAUAUUAUUCGGUAUCUUACACCUUUGGCCGGUUUGAAGUUGGCGUUUUCAACACAUUGAAAAGAAAGAAGCUUUUGCAGAAAGUAUAUUGGUGCUUCUUCAGUAGUAUUGAUGGAAGAUUUUGAUUAUUUAGAAUGUCUUGAUUUAAUACAUUGAAUUAUGAAAACUUCAAUAUGUCAAGAAUUGUUAAAAGCAGUCAUGUGGUAAUAGCUGAAUAAGGAUCAGUUGCAUGGGAGUUGGUGCCUUUAGAACAUAUUGAAAACCAACUUUCAAUUGAAGCACUUAAACGUGUUUUUACUCAUUGAUUGGUUUGAAUUCCCAUACCUAUCAAAUUCCUACAUAGGGCUGGCAUCUAAUUCAUCAAGAAGGAGUGUUAUUGAACAAGAACAAAAGUCAAGC
rnacentral:lncRNA from 1 species